rnacentral:tRNA from 1 species
GCACAAUUAGCUCAGUUGGUUAGAGCGCUCGCCUGACUUGCGAGAGGUCAUAGGUUCGAAUCCUAUAUUGUGCA